CCUACGGGCGGCAGCAGUGGGGAAUAUUGGACAAUGGGGGCAACCCUGAUCCAGCCAUGCCGCGUGUGUGAAGAAGGCCCUCGGGUUGUAAAGCACUUUCAGUGAGGAAGAACGCCUGGUGGUUAAUACCCAUCAGGAAAGACAUCACUCACAGAAGAAGCACCGGCUAACUCCGUGCCAGCAGCCGCGGUAAUACGGAGGGUGCGAGCGUUAAUCGGAAUUACUGGGCGUAAAGCGCGCGUAGGUGGCUUGAUAAGCCGGUUGUGAAAGCCCCGGGCUCAACCUGGGAACGGCAUCCGGAACUGUCAAGCUAGAGUGCAGGUGAGGAAGGUAGAAUUCCCGGUGUAGCGGUGAAAUGCGUAGAGAUCGGGAGGAAUACCAGUGGCGAAGGCGGCCUUCUGGACUGACACUGACACUGAGGUGCGAAAGCGUGGGUAGCAAACAGGAUUAGAUACCCCGGUAGUC
rnacentral:rRNA from 1 species